UACGUAGGGGUCGAGCGUUGUCCGGAGUUACUGGGCGUAAAGCGUGUGCAGGCGGCUCAUUGCGCCCGGCGUGAAAGCCCCCGGCUCAACCGGGGAGAGUCGUCGGGGACGGGUGAGCUUGAGGGUAUCAGGGGCUGGUGGAAUUCCCGGUGUAGUGGUGAAAUGCGUAGAUAUCGGGAGGAACACCCGUGGCGAAGGCGGCCAGCUGGGAUACACCUGACGCUGAGACACGAAGGCGUGGGGAGCGAACAGG
rnacentral:rRNA from 1 species